UUUAGACAACUAGCCAACUUUGCUUGCCGAGAUAACGAGAGAUUUAUCUUUACACGGGAAAUGGCUAUGAAUUUGUUGAAACAAUUUAAGGAGGAAGAUGCUGCACAAAAAGGGGGGUCAAUGAUGCAGAUAGUGUAAGAGAUGGUGUGCAAGUGGAUGCUUUUGGAGCUGGGCUCGCAACCAAUGAUCUCGGACAUAGCAUGCCAAGGGACCUAAGAAAAUGUAGGACAAAAGGGGGGCUUCACAGUCCAAUAAAAGAAAACAUCGAUGUGGACAUUGUGGCAUGGAGGGCCACAAUCGAACAACUUGUCGUGUUCGUCGUGGCAUCUCACAGUCAGAAGGCCUUGGAAAUGACACAUUUGAUAAUGACUCGGAUGACCACAUGAACAUUGAAGAUGACUCAUUGGUAUAUGAUGAGAGUGCUUCCUACAGUAGCAAUGAGGUGCUGUAAUAAGCUUUUGCGAUGGUUGAUGUUGUUCGUGUUUAUAACUAAAGGUUGAGAACAGGAGUACAGGGGAGCUCAGCUUCUUAACUUCUUUGAUGAAUUCUGCAGGUUCAAUGGUUAGAGUAUUCACAAGCCUCCAAGAAAAUGCACCAAAUUCAUUUCAAUAUUUAUGUUUUUGGUGGUCUUUUAAUUUAACUCUUUAGCAGUACUGCAUUCGUAUCUUAAUUAUGUAUUUGUGACUGUUUCCUUAAUUCUUUUGAAGUUGUAAUGGGUUCCGCAAUUGGUGUUGCUACAAAUUUCACACUCCUAAGCCAGAUAUUAUUCUACCAAAAGCCAAGGGUCACUGAGAAAAAGAAGAAAACGAAAUAGAAGAACUAUACAAAGUCAUGUAUACUGCUACUUCCGAGUUCCUCGUGUUCAUCUUUCAACAGGUGCUACAUCCUUGAAGCCAUAUUCAAAAUUUUUUCACUGUUGAAUUGACCCUUUUGAACAUUUACCUUUUUUCAACUGCUGAUUCUUAAGGUAGCCAACUUAGAAUGGGUAACUGGGGGACUUGAAUGGGUAAUUUCGGAGAGUGAUGUAAUAUUUUUUUUGGGUAUUUUAAUUGAUUUCAUGUAA